rnacentral:rRNA from 1 species
AACGAACGCUGGCGGCAGGCCUAACACAUGCAAGUCGAGCGCCCGCAAGGGAGCGGCGGACGGGUGAGUAACGCGUGGGAACGUGCCCUUUGCUACGGGAUAGCCUCGGGAAACUGAGAGUAAUACCGUAUGUGCCCUUCGGGGGAAAGAUUUAUCGGCAAAGGAUCGGCCCGCGUUGGAUUAGGUAGUUGGUGGGGUAAUGGCCUACCAAGCCGACGAUCCAUAGCUGGUUUGAGAGGAUGAUCAGCCACACUGGGACUGAGACACGGCCCAGACUCCUACGGGAGGCAGCAGUGGGGAAUCUUAGACAAUGGGCGCAAGCCUGAUCUAGCCAUGCCGCGUGAGCGAUGAAGGCCUUAGGGUUGUAAAGCUCUUUCGUGGGGGAAGAUAAUGACGGUACCCCAAGAAGAAGCCCCGGCUAACUCCGUGCCAGCCGCCGCCGUAAGAC